GACGAACGCUGGCGGCGUGCUUAACACAUGCAAGUCGAACGGAAAGGCCCUGCUUUUGUGGCGUGCUCGAGUGGCGAACGGGUGAGUAACACGUGAGUAACCUGCCCUUGACUUUGGGAUAUCUUCAGGAAACUGCGGCUAAUACCGGAUAGGAGCUCCUGCUGCACGGUGGGGGUAGGAAAGUUUCGGUGGUUGUGGAAGGACUCGCGGCUCAUCGGCUUGUUGGUGGGGUAGGGGCGUACCAAGGCUUCGAUGGCUACCCGGCCUAGGAAGGUUGACGGCCACAAUGGGACUGAGAGACGCCACAGUAUCCACAGUUAGGCAGCAGUGGGGACUCUUGCGCAAUAGCCGGAAGCCCGAUGCACCACUGCUGCGAGCGGGAUGACCGCCUUCGGGUUGUAAACCGCUUUGGCCUGUGACGAAACGGGCGUGACGGUAAUUGAUAAGAAAGCACCGGCUAACUACGUG
rnacentral:rRNA from 1 species